GGUCGAUUGGCCCAGUGGUUAAGGCACUUGCUUUACAGUCAAUUUCGAUUCCGAACGAACUGUACUCGCAAGGGAUCGCAGGUUCGAUCCCUGCAUCGAUCA